AAAAAGGGUCGAAAGACCUAUUUCUAAACCUACUACCAAUUCUUACUUCUUUGAGGUGAGAUGGUGGUAGGUUUUUUCAAACCCCAAUUUAAAAAUAUCGUCACAAGACGAAACCAAAAAAAAUAAUAAAUA
rnacentral:misc_RNA from 1 species